UUACUAAUCGAGAUGAGGCCUUUUUAGGCAGCAAGGCGAUUUUUGUAACGUACUGCUUAGAUAGAUUGUCAUGUCAGAGAAAUCUUCAGGUGUGACUGAGGGACAAGGGAUAGAAGAUCCAAUCCACACACAGACAAAGUCCACUAUGUUAAACAGGUUACUUGGCAGUGAAACGUAUGAUUCCUUUGACAUGCGCUGUAUGGUAACAGGCCAGUUCGGGGUCGGAAAAUCGAGUCUUGUCAAGCUCUUAAUUGGUGAUGUCAUCCCAGAAGGAAGACAGCCCACCGAUGGGAUUUCCGUUAUAGAAGGUCGCUGUGGCCUCGAUGUGGAGACUAGAAGCUGGAUUUAUAUUG